UCUGCUGGGUGACACUGGGAUCCCCUGAGUGAUACUGGGAUCCUUUCGGAGGUACUGGGAUCCACUGGGAGGUGCUGGGAUCCAUUCGGAGCUUCACCUGAGCUGUGUUGGAAGAGUCUUUGCAGAUCCACAACCCAAAAUCCUGUUCAGGGCUGGAUUUCCACCAGUGCCAGGGAUGCCCUGGCCAUCAAGAGCUUUCUGGUUGCAGUGUUUGGACUCUGCUGAACGUUCCCCCUCGUCUUUGCCCGUGUUUUACUCCUGGUGAAAAAUCUCCGUGGAGAUUCCCGGCGACAGCUCCCUUUGCAUUCCUGCUGCACACUCAGCCAGCCAAGCAAGGCUGUAAAUAAUUGAGCACCCAUCAUUCCCCACCAGAAGCAGCCUG